ensembl:lncRNA
UGAAUGUGUACCCUCUUUACCCAUCCCCCCUUCAAUGACAGCAUCCCCCUCUGUCUCUGUAUGUGUGUCUCCGUCCGAGAGAGGGGACGUGUCCUGCAGUGGACGACGACGGUGACGGCUAUACCCCUGGACAAUAGUGUGGGAGGACAGCUUCAUCUUCAGGCUUCUCCUAUUGACUGAGGCUGGUGCACUGGUUCUGGCUGGCUGCUUCCCUGAGGCAUCUCCGUCCCUCUUGUGAUGACAGAGCGCAGAUGGAGCCAUGACUCAUGCCUCACAGUGCUCGCUUCAAUUACUGCAAAUAUGGCGUUACCACUGCAGUGAUCACAAUACCACAGUCUGGACAGGGUGCUGCGAAGCUGCGAAGGUGGUUUUACAUCAAAAGUACCAAAAUGAAACCAGGAAACCGGUCUCUGGUGUCACGGCCUGGUGUCUCCUGGAGCAGGGACUAAUAGUAGUCUACAAAGGGAAGCGCGCCCAAACAGAACUCCACGCCCGCCGCUCCGAUCCGCUCUACACACAAGCGACAAGAGGAACAAACGCUCCCGGCAGCCCUGCUGAUAGAACGCAGCGGCGGGUGGAGAGGCUGGAG